rnacentral:rRNA from 1 species
CCUACGGGUGGCAGCAGUGGGGAAUCUUCCGCAAUGGGCGAAAGCCUGACGGAGCAACGCCGCGUGAUCGAAUGAAGGCCUUCGGGUUGUAAAGAUCUGUUGACAGGGACGAAUAAGCAAUGCGAAUAGUUUUGUGUAUGACGGUACCUGUUUAGAAAGCUCCGGCUAACUACGUGCCAGCAGCCGCGGUAAUACGUAGGGAGCAAGCGUUGUCCGGAAUUACUGGGCGUAAAGGGCGCGUAGGUGGGCGCGUAAGUCAGGUGUGAAAACUCCGGGCUCAACCUGGAGACUGCACUUGAAACUGGGUGUCUUGAGGGCAGGAGAGGAAAGUGGAAUUCCUAGUGUAGCGGUGAAAUGCGUAGAUAUUAGAAGGAACACCAAUAGCGUAGGCAGGUUACUGGGACGGUUCUGACACUAAGGCACGAAAGCGUAGGGAGCAAACGGGAUUAGAUACCCGAGUAGUC